ensembl:lncRNA
AUGCCGAGAUUUUACGUGGUGGGGGGGAUGGGAGGGCUGGGAUUCUGUGGUUCUCAGCGGUUUCUUGCAGCUGUGGUGGGAGCAGGGUCCUGGAUCCCUGCUCCUCACUCACCCCAGCCACGUAAAAUCAAAGGUAUCGAUGAUGCCCUCCUUGGCCCUUCUCCUUUUGGAGUGGCGUUCGCGCCUCUCGUGGGUCUCCGGUUCUCGCUGGUCCACGCACCGGAGCUUUCUGGGCGAGGGAGACGGAGAGGGAGAGGGAGUCGGAGUGCGGUCGGAAUCGCACCGGGUGGAGCAGGAAUACGAUGGCUCCUGAGUCGUCUUGAUUUUGACUCGCGGUUUCUCUCCGGCGUUCACCGAGUAGGCGACGAAGCCGAAGCAGUUGGAGGGGGACCCCGAGGACCGAGAUUCCAGGUCGUCUUCAUCUUCGUUCGCGUUCUUCUUCCCGGAUUUGCGGCCGGGGGAGCAUCCCCGCUUCCCGCCCCCAGGGUAGUUGGGAAAAUCCACUUUGAGAGCAGCCCUUUUCCACUGAAACGUCCCGAAAGUCGGCGCCCCACCCCUUGGGCCCCCGUCUGGAUCUCAGGGCGUCGCCGAGGGGGCCAUACCCCUCCAAGGCCGGGGCGGGGAGGGGGGGCAGUCCGCCGGAGGGCAGCGCGCCGCUGCUGCCCCUCUCCGGCCAGCCAGGCCUCUCCACCCGCCGCGCCCGCCGGCCACGCCGCGCUCCCGGGCUCCCCAUUGUUCAGUCACAGGGGUAGACCCCGCGGCGGGAGCGGGCCGCACCACCGACUCUCCCGGCGCCGGGCCUCGGCGCAGGCGGCUAACCGCGCCGCGGCGCCCCGGAGCCUGCCGCCGCGGAGAAAGAGGGCGAGGCUCCCUCAGGGGGACCGCUCCAUCCACCACGCACGCCACACGGCCGAGCAGCUCCUCGGCUCGUCCUGCCCAGCGACCUCCAGGGGCGGCGCUUCGGGCCGCCAGCAGCUGAAGGAAGAUCAAAACAACUCCCCGCCCUCCGCGAAGCCUGGCGCCCCACCUACGCCGACCCAGACCCGCCGGGAGCCGCGGGCGGCGAAAGCAAGAGAGAGGGGAGGGCCACCUUCCAGGCCGGGGCGCAGAGCAGGGCCAGGAGGUGGGAAGGGGCCGAGACGACCGGUCAGGGCGCGGCGGCUCGGGAGGCGGCGGGGCCGGUGCGGCACACUUCCGAGCACCCCCCUAUCCCCGCCCUCCUCCUCGGGCCGGCCAGGCGCUUACCUGGGCGCCGAGCAAAGCGGCAGGGCGAGCAGGCGGCGAGAGCGAGUGAAUGCGCUGUUUGUCUCCUUGCGUAGAGAGGAUCCCGGCGGGCGGAGACAGAGUCGGCCUCUGCCACACCUGAGGCAACUCUGCAGCCUCUCUGGACCCAAGUUCCCUCAUCUGCAAAUCAAAUAAAACGGUUCAAGAGAGGACCUUUAGAGACGCGCAACAGAUUUGAAAUCCUCUGUGCAAACCGUUUCCCAGGGGCACCUGACCGGGGAUUGAGGUCUUGGCAUCACCCCCUUUGAAACCUAGGGUACGUCAAAAAUUUAAGUUCUGUCUGGUGUUGCUUUUCAUGUAAUUUAUUGCACGUCCUUGAAAUCUGGAAAACGAGAAUCAGUACCCCUUCCUCUUCUCUCCUCAGAGCCUUAUUAGGAUAGUUGAGAAAAUGUGUGUGUGAACAAAGUCUUGAAAGGGAUGUUUGUCAACAGAUACACAGUUUUAUAUAUAUGUAUACAACACACAUGAAUAUAAUGUCUUCAUUGCUACCAGUGACACGGUUUAAUCAUACUGUUUUUAUUGUCUGAAUCCUCCUGAUGGUGUUUAGCCUUUAUCGCACCUUUCAAGAGCCCCAGUAUAUGAUAUUUUCUGUUUGAAAACUAAGAAAUCAUGUUUCCAGGACCUUUGGAAGAGGAGGGGAAAAAGUUUGCUCUUCUGGUUAUUUUUUGUACCACAAAUAUGGAAAAGAAAUGUUGCCUGUGACCACACACAUAACUUGGCUUCUUUGGUCAACAUCCCUCCCCUGUGAGAGUGUGGCUAACACUGCGGUGCUUUAAGAUGACAGACUCAAGAUUCAUCUCAAACAGAGGCUUUUGGUGUGUUUCAGACAAGUGACAUUCUGGACCAGGCAAGUCGCCUUCCAAGUGUAAGGGAUUCUAUGCUUACACUUGCACUUAAACUUGUGAUCCUUCAAAUGAUGGUGAAAAGCUGGGCUUCAGGUCAGGCAAUGUAGGUUCAAAUCUGGUCUUGACUUCUUUCCAGCUUUGUAUUCAGGUGGAUGCUUAGCCCUGAAGCCUCAGUUUCCUUGCCUACAAAUUAGGCAUAACAACUGCCUUGUAUAUUGUAAGGAUUAAUUGUGAUGGCACACACAUACAGCAAAUGCUAGAAAACAAUAAUUGUAAUUAUUAUAGGCCAAGAUAAUCUGAAGGGAUUAGAUUAUUUCUUUCCCUGCCAUAACCCAUGAAGUACAACUUUCUAACUCUGGGUAAUGUGCCACCGUUAGUUUUAUGAGAGUGGGUUAAGAUCUAAUAACAAAGUGAGCUGUCUUCAUUCCAUUUAUUUCUGGGAAGUCUUGAGUUUAAAUGGUUGAAGAGGGGGUGAUGGGAGGGGAAAGGCCAUGUUCUUGUUUUAAGAAAACUUUAAUUUUCAGUUGCCAGACUGCCAGAAGAGCCUUCUACUGUACUGGUCACCGCCAGCACCCGAGGUAGGGAUGGCACACAGAAUAGAAAAUAGAAAAGUAAGAGGCAAGCACAGUUCUUAAAGCUUCUAGUGUGUGAGUCAGUCUGCUGCCCUGGCUGGUGUCUUAACCUUCCUUAUUCAUCUGUGUGUCCCCCAGUAGUGUCCAGGGGGGUCAAUAACUGGUCAAUAACUGAUGUUUGUUGACCACACAGAACUGACAGCGGCACCAUCAAGAGAACAUGUGCUUUGAGCUGCUUUUCCAAGAGUGGAAAUGGAUUUGCUUUGAUCCAUUCAUGUGACCAGGGGCGUACUUUGUGAGGGUUAGCAAGGUAAUACAUGACCACUGAGUUUUUCAGGCAGAACAAGAGGCCUUGUCCUCCUUAGUCAGCCCCCUACUUACUUAACCAAACUGAAUUAGGGCCCAAAUGAGUUCAAGGACUAUUCAGGGAAGCUUAAAAGAGUAUGAAGGAAGAAAAAGCAGAAGAAAGCGCUUAAACUAACUGGUUUGCCCCCAGAAACCCAGACUGGACUUUUAGAGAAGUUAGAAGGAGAAAGGCCUGUUUCAUCCAGUUUGACUUCGCUGUGUCUGCUGCCCUUUGUUCUCUUUCUCCUUCUUCCCUAAAUGGCCACCCACCCCCAGUCUCCUCCUGCUCCCUAAAAAGCAUUAGAGCACUUGAACCCAUGAACUCUUUCUGUCUCCUGGUACAGCUAGUAUCAAAGCAGACAGGGGAUUCUGUUUCAUGGGCUUUGAAGUCAGGCUUUUUUCUUUUAGAGUAGCUGUGUCCAAGGGGUGGGUGGAGUGGGAGAGAAACAUCACAGGUCAAAAUUUGGUUCCAAAUCUGCGGAAAUGGCUGGGGGCUGAAAAAAAGGACUUCUUCAGUGUUCUGCUGCUUGAAAUAAAGGCCUUGUUUUGGGUGGACUUUACCUGUGAGUCCUCUCAAUUUCUUUCUCUUUUAAAGGACCCAGUCUCACUUUGCAGAUCGUAAACCCUUAAUCUAGUGACCUGAGCAUGCCUUCCUAGGGCCUGUGUGGUUGGUUGCCUUGCACUCAGACAAGAUUUGGGGUAAGGCUCAAACAUACUCAAACCUUCAAGCAGAACAUGUAGUUUGGGAAAUGGAGUUUUUCCAACAUUUGGAUGAUUUCAGUAGGCAGUGAACAAAACCCUUAACUCAUGCUAAAAAGACAGCUGAGACUCAGGCUUGAGGAACACCCUGGAAACCCAACCCAGCAUUAUAAACUUUUUCUCUUUUUAAUAAACAAACACCAGUUCUUUCCAAAAGAAUAGACCAUUGUAAAAUCUAAAAGCAAAACAAAAAUAAAACAAAAGGAAAAGAAACAGCCUUGGAAGCUGAUGUCAUUACUCUUAAAGCAAAUUUG